UACGUAGGUGACAAGCGUUGUCCGGAUUUACUGGGCGUAAAGAGCGCGCAGGCGGUCGUUCAAGUCGAGUGUGAAAGCCCCCGGCUCAACUGGGGAGGGUCACUCGAUACUGAUCGACUCGAAGGCAGGAGAGGGAAGUGGAAUUCCCGGUGUAGUGGUGAAAUGCGUAGAUAUCGGGAGGAACACCAGUGGCGAAGGCGGCUACCUGGACCAGCACUGACACUGAGGCACGAAAGCGUGGGGAGCAAACAGG
rnacentral:rRNA from 1 species